CCUAACAUCCUAAGACCUUGGGCAAAGUUCUACGCCAAGAGGUAGAUACCAUUAUUUUGCCCGUUUUACAGAUGAGGAAACUGAGAAGGGCAAGCAGGAGAGGACAAUGCCAGCUGAGGCAGCUUAACUCCGGUCAGGCUGCUGUGCAACUACACUGUCUUGCCUUUCCAUCCAGGCCAUUCCAGAACACAGCAGCCCUGGCCCCAGAGCUUACUUAAAGCCUGAAAGGGCUCUCUUAGAAACUCAAGCCCCUCCUGGACUGGUCCCUAAAUGCAAUUUCAUACCAGACCGCUAAUCCCAGACCAAGCCCGUUCUUACAGUUCUGCCUGCCAGCCCCAGAUCCUUCCAGAAGCACACAGGGAUUGGCCCAUCCCGCAGAGCCUUGCUUAUCCUACGGAGCAGCCUAGCUAGAGGCAGCGCCGCGGGGUCCUCGGAGGCCCUUGUCACUCACCCACAUUCGGGUCUUUGGCCAGCUCCUCAUAGGACCCAUAGGCCUUGGGGAUGUCAUGUUUCCGCGCAAAUUCCUUCGCCCGGCUCAGGUCGCGGGCUGCUACCGCCACCACCUGGAGGGGCGCUAGGGUCAGACUAGUGGGACUGGGGAAGGCGCAGGCGUGGGACAGGUGGCUGGGAGAGAGGUGAUGGAGAAGGCCCCGGACCCAGGAGCCUCGGCUCCCCGGCCUGCUCUUCCACAGGAUUCCGGAGGGAGUGUGGACCUGGUGCUCGGAGCGAGGCAGCGUCCGCAGCGCCGUCGUGAAGUCGCUGGAGAUAAGGCCGACUGACACGAUGCCCCAGCGCAGCGCCAUCGCAAAAA